rnacentral:rRNA from 1 species
UACGAAGGGGGCUAGCGUUGCUCGGAAUCACUGGGCGUAAAGGGCGCGUAGGCGGCCAUUCAAGUCGGGGGUGAAAGCCUGUGGCUCAACCACAGAAUUGCCUUCGAUACUGUUUGGCUUGAGUUUGGUAGAGGUUGGUGGAACUGCGAGUGUAGAGGUGAAAUUCGUAGAUAUUCGCAAGAACACCAGUGGCGAAGGCGGCCAACUGGACCAACACUGACGCUGAGGCGCGAAAGCGUGGGAGCAAACAGG